rnacentral:rRNA from 1 species
GACGAACGCUGGCGGCAGGCCUAACACAUGCAAGUCGAGCGAGCGGAGGACGGGUGAGUAAUGUAUGGGGACUGCCCGAUAGAGGGGGAUAACUACUGGAAACGGUGGCUAAUACCGCAUACUAUCGGAUAACCCAUAUGGGAUUAGCUAGUAGGUGGGGUAAAGGCUCACCUAGGCGACGAUCUCUAGCUGGUCUGAGAGGAUGAUAAGCCACCCUGGGACUGGGACAGGGCCCAGACGCCAACGGAGGCAGCAGUGUGGAAUAUGGCACAGUGGGCGCAAGCCUUAUGCAGCCAUGCCGCGUGUAUGAAGAAGGCCUUGGGGUUGUAAAGUACUUUCAGCGGGGAGACGUUACCCGCAGAAGAAGCACCGGCUAACUCCGUGCCAGCAGCCGCGGUAAUUC